rnacentral:tRNA from 1 species
GCGAAGGUGGCGAAAUUGGUAGACGCACCAGGUUUAGGUCCUGGCGCCGCAAGGCGUGUGGGUUCGAGUCCCUUCCUUCGCACCA